rnacentral:rRNA from 1 species
UACGUAGGGGGCUAGCGUUGUCCGGAAUCAUUGGGCGUAAAGCGCGUGUAGGCGGUCCGGUAAGUCCGCUGUGAAAGUCGGGGGCUCAACCCUCGGAUGCCGGUGGAUACUGUCGGGCUUGAGUACGGAAGAGGCGAGUGGAAUUCCUGGUGUAGCGGUGAAAUGCGCAGAUAUCAGGAGGAAUACCGAUGGCGAAGGCAGGUCUCUGGGCUGACACUGACGCUCAUGCACGAAAGCGUGGGGAGCAAACAGG